rnacentral:rRNA from 1 species
GUUCCUUGGAAAAGGACAGCUGAGAGGGUGAGACUCCCGUCCGCCUGGUGGAGUGAGUCGUUGUCAACGAGUCGAGUUGUUUGGGAUUGCAGCUCUAAUUUGGUGGUAAAUUCCAUCUAAAGCUAAAUAUUGGUGGGAGACCGAUAGCGUACAAGUACCGUGAGGGAAAGAUGCAAAGAACUUUGAAAAGAGAGUUAAAGAGUACCUGAAAUUGCUGAAACGGAAGCGAAGGAAACCAGUGUUUGUUGGUUCAUAUUUCCCUUGUCACUUGUGAUGUGGGCGCUGUGAGCUUGCGUGGGUUUGCUUUGGUUGAUCCCUUUGGAAGAGCGCAGUCAGAGUUGAUGUCU